GUAAACAUAACCGAACGUAUUUUAAAUAGCGCUUUGUAUUAUUUUAUUGGUUCAAUUAAAGCAAACGCGCCGCGUCGUGAUAAGAGCCAGCGGGUUGGCUUUGGGAUGCAUACAGCUACGAAUAAGCGGCGGGGUCUUUAGCAUAUGGAAGAGCAAACGCGUUUGGUGUGUCAACAACAACAUCUUGCUGUUGAUACCAACAUCAGUGUCACCGCUCAUCUGGGUAAGGGACAGACAACUCGAAAUCUCGCUCACACCAAGAAUGUAAAUAUUUACGCUCUCUUUAACCACCUCGACACGAAAAUGCAUUCCCUGCAACCCGAGAAGUUCAGUGCAAGCGAAUAUCUGUUCUGGCGGUCGACUUGCUAUUAUCACAUUUAGAGUGCAUUGACACCAAUUGUCAAUGUGGAAGAUCGGCUAUUGAAUGAUUUCUUUUGUCUCAAUUGUUUCAGAGAAUUCUGAUUGUGAUCUUGCACUUGUUUUCAAUGUUGGCAUGGCGCCCCCAAAUAUAUACGUGUACAUACGCGUUUUUA